CGAUUGGUUUGGGAGGUUUGGGAAUGCGGGGUUUGAAAUUAAAUUUGCGGAAAUAUUUUGAUUAUCACCUCAAGGCUUUAAGAAUCGCAAGACGGACGGUCGGAAGACAUAAAAUAAAGGUGUAAGACGUAUUACUUGAGGGUUUUAACGCUGAUAUACUUUCUGCUUCUCUUCAAACCAUUCAAAAAGGCGCUCCUUUGUUGCAGACUGGAAAGAUCCGCAUUCGGUGAAGCGGCCGCUGCAUGAGCAGGCCUCUGAAGACGCCACGCCCCCCGCCGCGGACGGCUGUCCUGUGCAGAGGGAGCACACGGUACGGGUGGGAGCCGACCCCAGUUACCCAACCAAGGCGGGAAGGUCGGCGGAGGAGGACUCUGCUUACCGGAGACUGGGAGAACAGGACGAGUCCCGACGGGUCACCUUCA